rnacentral:rRNA from 1 species
GACGAACGCUGGCGGCGUGCUUAACACAUGCAAGUCGAACGGAAAGGCCUGCUUUCCCUUGUGGAUUGCGGGUGCUCGAGUGGCGAACGGGUGAGUAACACGUGAGUGAUCUGCCCCCAACUUGGGUAUAAGCCUGGGAAACUGGGUCUAAUUCCCGAUAGGACUGCAGGGUGGUGCCUGUGGUGGAAAACGAUUUUCUAGUGGUUGGGGAUGAGCUCGCGGCCUAUCAGCUUGUUGGUGGGGUAAUGGCCUACCAAGGCGGCGACGGGUAGCCGGCCUGGGAGGGUGGACGGCCACAGUGGGACUGCGAUACGGCCCAGACUCCUACGGGAGGCAGCAGCGGGGAAUAUUGCACAAUGGGCGGAAGCCUGAUGCAGCGACGCCGCGUGGGGGAUGACGGCCUUCGGGUUGUAAACUCCUUUCGACCGCGAGGAAGCCACCUGGUUGGAAGGGUGGUGACGGUAGUGGUAGAAGAAGCACCGGCUAACUACGUG